UCUUUAUUUUACAUUUUUGGUUCGUAGAGUUUAAAAAUCCAAUCACUAUUUUUAUACCACCGACUCAAUAUUGCAUGAACAAAAUGUAGUAAAUUUUUAGGUUCAUACAAGUAGUACAUAAUAUACAUUAAUGCACAUCAAUUUUGAGCUGCCUUCUUUGGCAAGUGUUGGGAUGAUUUGAAUGUCAUGAAUAAACUCCGAUGAUACUGUAACUUAUUUCUCCAAAAUACUGAUCAUAUUUUAUGUUCAAUCUACUACAUUUUUAGAACUUUCUGACACUAUAACUUUGCUUUAAGUUUAAUUUUCAAACUUAUUUAACUAUAAAACUUAAUUAGAACUUAUUAUAGAUCAAGAUAGACUCGAAAACUAACUGGCAAGUGGCUUUGAAAUGUUUGCCUUUUAAGAUAAAAAUUGUUAUAAUCAUAGGAUAAUUACAUACAAUUUACUUACCCUUUCAACCGCUAUUUAAUUUUAAAUCCCAAUUUAAAAAGGUAAGAUUUUUUAAUUUAAUAUUUUAAUAAUUGAUGGAUUGAAAAUUGAUAAAGUGUUGUAAAAAAAUUGGAUUUCAGUGAACUUUGUUUUUUGUCGGUCGUAUACCAAAGUAAUGCAGUAAAAGCGUCAUGCAAUUUUAAAAUUGUAGUAGAUUAAUCUAUAAUAUUUUAUAUAAAAAGAUCGACUCUUCACACAGCUAAGUAUCAGUGUCAGUUGCAGUAUCAGAAGAGUUAAUUCAACAUUUGAAAAAAUGGCUAAAGCUAUUAUUUAUACAAUGUUCUUUUUUGUUGUCCUUGCUUUUUUGAAUUUUGGAAUGGCUAGCCCCGUCGUUCCAACACUUGGCAGACCCGGGAGGAAUCAAAUGGAAUGGAAUGAUUGAAGUUGGAUUUUUAAAUCAGACCGACUAAAAAUGUGAACUAAAGAAAAUAAAAACUUAUCAUUUUGAAUUAAA